CUGGCGGCAGGCUUAACACAUGCAAGUCGAGCGGUAACAGGAGGAAGCUUGCUUCUCGCUGACGAGCGGCGGACGGGUGAGUAAUACUUAGGAAUCUGCCCAGUAGUGGGGGAUAGCUCGGGGAAACUCGAAUUAAUACCGCAUACACCCUACGGGGAAAAGGGGGCGCUUGCGCUCUCGCUAUUGGAUGAGCCUAAGUCGGAUUAGCUAGUUGGUGGGGUAAAGGCCUACCAAGGCGACGAUCUGUAGCUGGUCUGAGAGGAUGAUCAGCCACACCGGGACUGAGACACGGCCCGGACUCCUACGGGAGGCAGCAGUGGGGAAUAUUGGACAAUGGGGGCAACCCUGAUCCAGCCAUGCCGCGUGUGUGAAGAAGGCCUUUUGGUUGUAAAGCACUUUAAGCAGUGAAGAAGACCUAACGGUUAAUACCCGUUAGCGAUGACAUUAGCUGCAGAAUAAGCACCGGCUAACUCUGUGCCAGCAGCCGCGGUAAUACAGAGGGUGCAAGCGUUAAUCGGAAUUACUGGGCGUAAAGCGAGCGUAGGUGGCUUGAUAAGUCAGAUGUGAAAUCCCCGGGCUUAACCUGGGAACUGCAUCUGAUACUGUUGGGCUAGAGUAGGUGAGAGGGAGGUAGAAUUUCAGGUGUAGCGGUGAAAUGCGUAGAGAUCUGAAGGAAUACCGAUGGCGAAGGCAGCCUCCUGGCAUCAUACUGACACUGAGGUUCGAAAGCGUGGGUAGCAAACAGGAUUAGAUACCCUGGUAGUCCACGCCGUAAACGAUGUCUACUAGUCGUUGGGGAACUUGAUUCCUUAGUGACCCAGCUAACGCAAUAAGUAGACCGCCUGGGGAGUACGGCCGCAAGGUUAAACUCAAAUGAAUUGACGG
rnacentral:rRNA from 1 species